AUGCCGCUCGCCGGGGCAGUCCCCUCCGCCGCAAUUCUUCUCCUCGUCGUCCUCUCGGCCGAGGGGCAGCCGUUCAAGGGCCUCGUGCCCAAGAACGGGAGCGUGGGCUUGAUCGGCAACAACGUGACCGCGACGGCCGACGCGGCAGCGAUGUGCUACCGGAGCGCCGUCAACGAGGAAGCCAGGCCGAGCAAGACGGUCGUCGACGUGGCCCCGCUCGCCGUGUGCCUCGCCCUCGACGACGCCGUGUUGCUGCCGCGGCCGCUGCUGCUCAACGGCGCGGCGUCAGUGCCGUCACCGGCGGCAGCGCGCCAGUUCGUGCCACCGCCACUGCCGGCGGACGCGCCCGCGCCUACACCCGGAGCCUCUCCUGAGGAUGAAGAUAAGAAGGGGUUGAGCGGGCGAGCAAAGGCAUGGUGCUGCGGGGCUCUCGCCGUGGGGAUUACGAUCGUCGUUUUGCCCGGAGCGGAGAUCUAUUUGAUCCACGCAACGAUCUACUUGACCCAAGCUUUAUCUGUUGAUGACGCGCCGGUGGUCGAUGGCGACGGCGACGGCGACGGCGAGCUCUUCGACUGCGCCAUCUGCAUGGAGACGGUGCCCGGCGUCCGCAAGUUCAGCGUCGGCUCGUGCGGCCACGCCUUCUGCUCGGGCUGCGUCGCCCAGUACGUCGCUGCUAAGCUGGGCGAGAACGUCGCUCGCGUCAAAUGCCCUGACCCCAGCUGCAAGAACGGCGCCGUCGAGCCGGAGAGCUGCUUCGGCAUCAUCUCCUCGGACCUGCUCGACAAGUGGGGUUUCCUGCUGUGCGAGUCCGCGCUCGGCGGCAAGAAGAUGUACUGCCCGUUCAGAGAAUGGCUGUUCUGCGCCCGGUGCGCGGCGCCGUGGCACGCCGGCGUCGGGUGCAAGGAGUUUCAGGAGCUCGGCCAGGACGAGCGCGGCCGGGAGGACUUCCUGCUGAGGCGGCUCGCCGGACGGCAGAGGUGGCAGCGGUGCCCCCAGUGCAAGAUGUACGUGGAGAAAUCGGAAGGAUGCAACUACAUCAAAUGCAGGUGUGGAUGCAGCUUCUGCUACAGAUGUGCGUCCAAGGUGUCCGCCCAAACCCAUUACUGCGGCAUGUGCAAGCGCUAA
rnacentral:rRNA from 1 species